rnacentral:tRNA from 1 species
GGCCGCGUGGGGCAAUGGACAACGCGUCGGUCUACGGAACCGAAGAUUGCAGGUUCGAAUCCUGCGUGUUCG